CAGGCAAGGCCAUCCCUCAGCUGUGGGGACAAGCAGGGCAGAGCCACCUGAGCUGUCGGGGACAGGUUAUCUCCAGGGCCAGGAGCACCAGGGCUGCCCCAGCUCUCGGUAAUUGCCCUUCCAGGGAAGCAGCACUGACUGCCUUGGCAGAGCCAGCUGGGUUUGUUCCGGGGCUCGUGUGGCACUGCAGGGAGCUGGGCAGGCUCUGAACUCGCUGAUUUUCUGUGCCAUGGCACUCCUGGGUGAGCACAUCCCCCCUGACAACUGGAGGAAAAGCUGCUGAGAACAGCUACACAUUCUUGGUGCAGUGGGAAAACAGCAACAAAGCCCAGGGUUCCUCCAGCUCUGGCCUGGAAUAUGGGUCUGGUUUUACUUCCAGGACCUCUGGGAGCAGAUCAAGCUUAGAGCAAAACAUUGAGAGAAUCAGCAAAGGAACCUGAAACAACAGUGGCUUGAAACACAGGUGGAGAGACACAAUUUCUGCCUUCUCUUGUUACUUGCAGGCCAAAAUUCAUCUGCUUGGAUUGCUUCCAGUCUGCUUCUCAAUAUGUAUGAAGGAAGGAACAAUGGUGCCUAUGAUUUAAUAAAAGUGAUUAUCUGUAAU
rnacentral:lncRNA from 1 species